GACAAAUCAAAUGCAGUGGCGUCUAACUCCUCUACUUCUAAUGCUGUUAACAUGGAAAAGGAUCAGGUGCAUGAAGAAGAGAUUCAACGGGACCUGCCAUCCGGUUUAAGUGUUGAUGAAAAGGCUGAGAUUAAAGAAAGCAUUAAAUGCUCCAAGAUGAUUGGUGGAAUUUCUAGUGACUUGGCUGCAUUUUAUACUCAACUAGCUACUCAAGAGUUGCAGACUAUUAAAAGUUCAGACCUGGAGUAUAUUAAAGAACUUGGUUCAGGCACAUAUGGUACCGUCUACUAUGGAAAAUGGAAAGGAUCUGGUGUUGCUAUCAAGAGGAUAAAACCAAGUUGCUUCACUGAAGACUCAUUGGGG
rnacentral:misc_RNA from 1 species